rnacentral:misc_RNA from 1 species
GUAGGGCUUCGGCCCUGUCGAGAUAGAACCCUUGCCUUUUUAAGUACCUUUCGUUUCCUCGGCAGGCUCGCCUGCCGAUGGACCCCCCAAAAAACACUUUGCAGUACCUGUAAUAGUCUGAACAACAAACAAAAAAAUUAAAACUUUCAACAACGGAUCUCUUGGUUCU